GAAACAUGGAUAUGAUGGAAGUUCUUUUCAGAAGCAUUACAUCAACCAGAAUUGUGGGAAUUUGAAGAAUGGGUUUGAAUGUAAAGCUCAUGAUUGCGGAGAAGAACAAGUUUCACGGAAAUGCGUUGUCUCUAUCAUACAAGAAGACCGCCAUUACUGCAAUCAAGGAGAAGUUCAGUUCAGAGCAGUUGGAAAGGUUUAAGGGUAGUUGUUUUGGUCAUCUACUACUCAUUGAGGACCUAAAGUGGACUCCACAAAUUGUCCAUGGGCUGUUGCCAAGAAAGGUUGAUCCGAAGACAGUUAAAACCGUGAAAGGUAUUGCAUUCUUGGUUGGUAAUAAGUUGAUACAAUUCACGAAGCAACAGUUUUGCCUCAUCAAGGGGCUAAGGUUUGGAAACCUCCCAUUGAUUCAGAAUCCCACUAAUGAAAACUGCGCUUUGAAGAAUAAAUACUUCCGGGAGAAUAAAACUGUGAGCCUUUAGGAACUCGAAAAAGCAUUCAAGGCUUGCACUGAUAAGGAGGAUUUAGUGAAGCUUGGUUUUGUGUAUUUUGUUGUAUUUGUAUUGUUGGGUACCGCUAAAAAUGUCAACAUGGACAUGAGGUAUUUGAAGUUGGUGGAAGAUCUUGAUGCGUUUGAGAAGUAUCCUUGGGACGCUGUGUCAUAUGCAAAGACACAUGAGUCACUUUCGAGGGCACGUUAUGCGGAUUACCAUCGAGUUAAAGUACCCCAAGAAACUCAAAAGAAAGCAGAGACAACGACGAGUGGUAUGAUUAGUGAGUAUCAUAUUAAAGGGUUUGGAUUUGCUUUUUAGAUAUGGGCUUUUGAAGUGUUCCCAGCUUUGACUCAACUGCAUUAUGUUGUGCAUGAAGAAAAUGCCCUCCACCCACGCAUCUUACAUUGGAGGAGCAAUAAGUUGGCAGGUUAUAACAAGCUAAUGUCUCAUGUAUACGAAAACAUUGAGUUGAUGUGAAGUUCAUCCGUCCCAAUCAAAUUGAGAAACAAAAAGCAUAUUGGAUUUGGGGUGACGAUGAAGAGGAUGAAGAAAAUGUUGAAGUGUAUGACGACACAAAGUCCCUUGGUCAUGGUGGUGACGAUCAUGGUGAGGGUGUUGAGGAUAGGCAAGAAAAUACAACCAUUGGAAUAGAAGAAGAGACUCUGGAAGUUCAGGAAACAUCUAGCCUUCCAUCGUCUUCGAAUGGCAAUGGUAAACUCUCUUUGACUUACUGUUUUGAUUUGAAAAAGGAGUUACCAAGUACAAAGGAUGAGUUGCAAAGGGUAGCUGCUUCAAAUCGGGCGCUUAAGAAGAGAGUGUGUGACUUGGAAGGGAGGGUAAAGAGUUAGUCUUUGAAAAAUAAGAAGGCUAUUGUGGGUUUCAACAAGAUCGUUGCUUUGAUGGAACAUCAUUUUAUGUCGGUGAUGGAGGAGUUGAAAAAAGCUUAUGGUGCGUUGAAUCGACCUGCUGAAGGUCAUGAAGAACUACAUACUCUUCAAAACAAGGAAGAAAUGAAUGACGUGGCCCCCUCACAUGAGCAUAUUACUCAGACUACAGAGAUUGAAGGAGGUGAUGCAUCAAGGCAGGAGCCUAGAACCAUUGUUGCGAAGGCGGGUGUUGACAUAACUGAACCAAUGCUUUCGACUAUGAAGGGUACUAGUCCUAGCACAGAGAUUAAAGGACCCGAUGUUGCAUCAAACCCUGCUAAGAAUGCUUCCCCUGGUUAUACCCCAGAUGAUGGAGCUAAUGCCUCCGCAAGCAUGAAAGUCCAAGGGGCUGAAAUGGAAACAAAAAAUCAUGAGAAAGAAGUUGAGCAAGAAGCAGAGAUUCUGCCUACGCUUGAAGAUUUCUGGGGGUGCAAAGUCCUUUGCAAAAAAAAUUUAAAGUUGCUAAAGGGUUGGCAAAAGGAACCCGGAAUGGCGUUGGUUACAAUUCCGAUGAGGCCUCCAAUCGGAAGCGAUGCUACUGUGGCUGGUGAUAAAGUGAAUGCGGAAGGUAGUGUCACAGUUGAAAAACAAGACGCAGAAGGUGUUAGGAUUUUGGCUCGUCAAAUAUGUCCUAGUUGGUUUAAGAUUGUUUUAGGAAAAUUAUAGGUAUACCAAUUAUUGUCCUAGAGGGAUUAGGAAAGAAUUUCAGUUUUCCUUAUUCAAUUUAGGUCUGGAUUUCUAGAAGUCUAUUAGGAUUUGGAUAAGUGUAAUUUCCUAAUCCACUUAGGAAUAGGAAUUCAAUCAGCCUUGGGACAUGUAAGCCAACUCUAUAUCUAUAAAUAGGGUGUGCCAGGGCUUAUUUUACAGCAGGAAAAACAGCCAGAGACAGCCGAGAGUUUUGAGAUUAGUUCUAGGGUUGCAAAAGUUCUGUAAUCUCUAUUAUUAAUCAAAGGAGUGAUGAUUUCUCUACCUAGAGAAAUCACAACUGGACGUAGGCAAAAGUUCUGCCGAACCAGUA